GCCUGGAUAUGCUCAGUUGGCUACAGCGUGGUGCAGAUAUGACCAAGGCUGCAGGUUCGAUCCCCGUUUGGGACA